GUGCGUGUAGUUUAUUUUGAUGAAAAUGUGAGGCUGUUAACCUCGAGAGGAUAUUAUUAUCCGCGGACG
rnacentral:tRNA from 1 species